UACGUAGGGGGCAAGCGUUGUCCGGAUUCAUUGGGCGUAAAGAGCGUGUAGGCGGCCAGGUAGGUCGGUUGUGAAAACUGGAGGCUCAACCUUCAGAGGUCGACCGAAACCAUCUGGCUAGAGUCCGGGAGAGGAGAGUGGAAUUCCUGGUGUAGCGGUGAAAUGCGCAGAUAUCAGGAAGAACACCCGUGGCGAAGGCGGCUCACUGGACCAUUACUGACGCUGAUGCUCGAAGCUAGGGGAGCAAACAGG
rnacentral:rRNA from 1 species